GUCUAUAGUCAUGCGACCCUGAUCACACGCAAUCCUGUCUGAUAUGGGAAGCUAAGCAGGAUUGGGCCUGGUUAGUACUUGGAUAGGAGACCACCUAGGAAGACCAGGCACUGUAGGUG
ensembl:rRNA 5S_rRNA 5S ribosomal RNA